rnacentral:misc_RNA from 1 species
GAUGAAGAACGUAGCGAAAUGCGAUACGUAAUGUGAAUUGCAAAUUCAGUGAAUCAUCGAGUCUUGAACGCACAUUGCGCCCCCUGGUAUUCCGGGGGGCAUGCCUGUCCGAGCGUCAUUGCUGCCCUCAAGCACGGCUUGUGUGUUGGGCCCCGUCCUCCGAUCCCGGGGGACGGGCCCGAAAGGCAGCGGCGGCACCGCGUCCGGUCCUCGAGCGUAUGGGGCUUUGUCACCCGCUCUGUAGGCCCGGCCGGCGCUUGCCGAUCAACCCAAAUUUUUAUCCAGGUUGACCUCGGAUCAGGUAGGGAUACCCGCUGAACUUAAGCAUAUCAAUAAGCGGAGGA